rnacentral:rRNA from 1 species
CAUGCAAGUCGAACGGUAGCAGGAAGCAGCUUGCUGCUUCGCUGACGAGUGGCGGACGGGUGAGUAAUGUCUGGGAAACUGCCUGAUGGAGGGGGAUAACUACUGGAAACGGUAGCUAAUACCGCAUAACGUCGCAAGACCAAAGAGGGGGACCUUCGGGCCUCUUGCCAUCGGAUGUGCCCAGAUGGGAUUAGCUAGUAGGUGGGGUAACGGCUCACCUAGGCGACGAUCCCUAGCUGGUCUGAGAGGAUGACCAGCCACUCUGGAACUGAGACACGGUCCAGACUCCUACGGGAGGCAGCAGUGGGGAAUAUUGCACAAUGGGCGCAAGCCUGAUGCAGCCAUGCCGCGUGUAUGAAGAAGGCCUUCGGGUUGUAAAGUACUUUCAGCGGGGAGGAAGGCGAUAAGGUUAAUAACCUUGUCGAUUGACGUUACCCGCAGAAGAAGCACCGGCUAACUCCGUGCCAGCAGCCGCGGUA